CACACUGAGCAGGUUACAUUCUGGAUAGCUAAUGGUGAAAGAUGGCUUUAUGGAGACAUAAAGCCAUCUUUCACCAUUAGCUGUCCAGAAUGUAACCUGC